rnacentral:piRNA from 1 species
UGACAGGAAGCCAGUCUGUGAAAUGGGU